UGGGGAAUUUUGGACAAUGGGCGAAAGCCUGAUCCAGCAAUGCCGCGUGUGUGAAGAAGGCCUUCGGGUUGUAAAGCACUUUUGUCCGGAAAGAAAUCCUUGGCUCUAAUACAGUCGGGGGAUGACGGUACCGGAAGAAUAAGCACCGGCUAACUACGUGCCAGCAGCCGCGGUAAUACGUAGGGUGCAAGCGUUAAUCGGAAUUACUGGGCGUAAAGCGUGCGCAGGCGGUUUGCUAAGACCGAUGUGAAAUCCCCGGGCUCAACCUGGGAACUGCAUUGGUGACUGGCAGGCUAGAGUAUGGCAGAGGGGGGUAGAAUUCCACGUGUAGCAGUGAAAUGCGUAGAGAUGUGGAGGAAUACCGAUGGCGAAGGCAGCCCCCUGGGCCAAUACUGACGCUCAUGCACGAAAAGCGUGGGGAGCAAACAGGAUUAGAUACCCUGGUAGUCCACGCCCUAAAACGAUGUCAACUAGUUGUUGGGGAUUCAUUUCCUUAGUAACGUAGCUAACGCGUGAAGUUGACCGCCUGGGGAGUACGUCGCAAGAUUAAAACUUAAAGGAAUUGACGGGGUCAUAGCUGUUUCCU
rnacentral:rRNA from 1 species